UAUGUAAAUUUCCCAUAAGUAUUCAUCAUUUUGUGGUAAUGAUUUGGAGGCAAUGUUAUCUAAUACCAUAUUAAAAUCAUUCGCGUUUGUGUAACCACUGAUUGGUUUAAUUAAUUCGGAAAUAGAAACAUCACAAAUUGAAUUACAGGACGUUUUGUGCAAGCAAUCAUUGUUGACAUUCCAUCUAAUAAUCCAACAUAUUGCUCUCCAUACUUUAGUUUCAAGUAACAAUCAACUAGUCCGUUAAAUAAGGCAAAGGUGAUUAAUAAAAUUGCCCAGAUGGUCAUGGCAAGUAUCUCUGUCACAAUUUGUACUGGUAUCAGCAGUGUUCUUGAAAACUCAUUUUUAAUACGAGAAAAUAUUAUCAAUUCAAGAAUAGCAUGAUUAUAAAUUGGAAGAACCAACGUAUCUGAAAAUUAAAUGUAAUUAACUUAUCUACAUUAGAAACUAAAUAUAUAUGUAUUAAUCAA